AUUGAACGCUGGCGGCAGGCUUAACACAUGCAAGUCGAGCGAGCGGCGGACGGGUGAGUAAUGUCUGGGAAACUGCCUGAUGGAGGGGGAUAACUACUGGAAACGGUAGCUAAUACCGCAUACCAUCAGAUGUGCCCAGAUGGGAUUAGCUAGGAGGUGGGGUAAUGGCGCACCUAGGCGACGAUCCCUAGCCGGUCGGCGAGGAUGACCAGCAACACUGGAACUGGGACACGGGCCAGACUCCUACGGGAGGCAGCAGUGGGGAAUAUUGGACAAUGGGGGAAAGCCUGAUGCAGCCAUGCCGCGUGGGUGAAGAAGGCCUUCGGGUUGUAAAGCACUUUCAGCGAGGAGGCGGUACUCGCAGAAGAAGCACCGGCUAACUCCGUGCCAGCAGCCGCGGUAAUAC
rnacentral:rRNA from 1 species